AAUAGAUACCCGGGUAGUCCACGCCGUAAACGAUGAGUGCUAAGUGUUAGGGGGUUUCCACCCCUUAGUGCUGCAGCUAACGCAUUAAGCACUCCGCCUGGGGAGUACGGUCGCAAGACUGAAACUCAAAGGAAUUGACGGGGGCCCGCACAAGCGGUGGAGCAUGUGGUUUAAUUCGAAGCAACGCGAAGAACCUUACCAGGUCUUGACAUCCCGGUGACCGCUCUAGAGAUAGAGCUUUCCCUUCGGGGACAGCGGUGACAGGUGGUGCAUGGUUGUCGUCAGCUCGUGUCGUGAGAUGUUGGGUUAAGUCCCGCAACGAGCGCAACCCUUGUUCUUAGUUGCCAUCAUUCAGUUGGGCACUCUAAGGAGACUGCCGCAGACAAUGCGGAGGAAGGUGGGGAUGACGUCAAAUCAUCAUGCCCCUUACGACCUGGGCUACACACGUGCUACAAUGGACGGUACAAACGGUUGCCAAGUCGCGAGACGGAGCUAAUCCGAUAAAACCGUUCUCAGUUCGGAUUGCAGG
rnacentral:rRNA from 1 species